CAGAGAGAAACUGCAAGUUUACUCUUGAUAUGAAGACUAAAAAUAUCAAGGGGAGACGCUGGUGUGCAUGUGUCAGAUGCCCCACACUAUAUAAGUCAACAAUAUCCAGGUAACAGGAUCCCUUGAGACAUGACCCCUCCAGCCACAGUCAUCUGGAUACAGUGAAAAUUGACUCAUGACUCAUGGUAUGACCACACUCAUGGCUGGCUACAAAUGAGAGGAAAAAAGAAUGUCCUGAUAGUAGCAUGUGAGGAACUGCAUCAGGACAUAAGAGCCAGUGUAGAGAGAAUCAGCCAAUUAGUGGGCAAGAAACUAAGCCCAGAAGAACUGAACUCCAGUCAUUAAGCACACAUCCUUCCGGACCAUGAAAGAUAAUAAAAUGAGCAACUAUUCCUUA